AUUGUGUCAGUUAUGGGCUUAUGGCGUUUUGCUGUCAGAAGUUAAGUUAUCUUUUCUUCGAAAAUUACCAAUGAAUUCAUAGUCUGAUAACUGAAAACUUACAGUCUGAAUGUCGUGCAGCCGGCCGUCAACUAUUUUGUUCAAACUCAUUGUAUUCUACUGAAUGUGCCAUCGAAAUGAUACAGGAUUCAUCAUAAUUAUCGGCUGUUUCUAUUGGAUUUGCUAGAUCACCAACCCCAGCAUGGACCAAUCUCUCAUUCCAGCUUCUAGAGAAUCUCGGAUAACUGAUUGGCGGUUUCAUGUGAUCUAAACUCCAGGUUUCUAAAUUUGCACGGCAGACUUUAUGAGAAUUCAUGUCCUUUCAAGUAAGUCAACAAGGUCACUUGUGUAGUAACCUGUUGGCUGCUACCCUUGAAUCUCCCUUUUUACUUUCUAAAGCGGCCAUCUUAAUUUGAGGGUAAUCCUUCGCUACUUUUCAUGGACUUCAUCCACUGGUGAAAACCGACGAGAGAAUG